UACGUAGGGGGCAAGCGUUGUCCGGAAUCAUUGGGCGUAAAGAGCGUGUAGGCGGCUCGGUAAGUCCGCUGUGAAAGUCCAGGGCUCAACCCUGGAAUGCCGGUGGAAACUGUCGAGCUAGAGUCCGGAAGAGGCGAGUGGAAUUCCCGGUGUAGCGGUGAAAUGCGCAGAUAUCGGGAGGAACACCAAUGGCGAAGGCAGCUCGCUGGGACGUUACUGACGCUGAGACGCGAAAGCGUGGGGAGCAAACAGG
rnacentral:rRNA from 1 species